rnacentral:rRNA from 1 species
GACGAACGCUGGCGGCGUGCUUAACACAUGCAAGUCGAACGGUAAGGCCCUUCGGGGUACACGAGUGGCGAACGGGUGAGUAACACGUGGGUGAUCUGCCCUGCACUUCGGGAUAAGCCUGGUGAACUUGGUCUAAUACCGGAUGGGACUCCGGACUGCAUGGCCUGGGGUGGCAAGCUGUUGCGGUGUGGGAUGGGCCCGCGGCCUAUCAGCUUGUUGGUGGGGUGAUGGCCAACCAAGGCGACGACGGGUAGCCGGCCUGAGAGGGUGACCGGCCACACGGGGACUGAGAUACGGCACAGACUCCUACGGGAGGCAGCAGUGGGGAAUAUUGCACAAUGGGCGCAAGCCUGAUGCAGCGACGCCGCGUGAGGGAUGACGGCCUUCGGGUUGUAAACCUCUUUCAGCACCGACGAAGCGCAAGUGACGGUAGGUGCAGAAGAAGGACCGGCCAACUACGUGCUAGCAGCCGCGGUAA